CAUGUAUAAAUAAAAAUAAAAAUUUAAUUAGGCAUCAAUUGAUGUACUAAUUUGGGUUGGUGUGAUAGGGAAAAGGAAGAUGGAGGGCAUGAAAUUUCUGGUAGUGGGCGGCUUGGUGAAGGUAAUUUCUCUGAUUUUCUUACCAACUCCGCCCAUUCCGGUGAUUUCCUGCGUUUCCCCCCUUUCCCUUCUCUCCUCUUCUCCAACUACUAUCCAAUCCACGGCUGCGAUUUGAGUUUUUCUGGACAGAAUCAGUUUUCAUCUCUGAGGAGUUCUUUCCGAGUCCUGACACCUCAAAUUCCAAAGAUCAAAAGAUGCUUAUUGGUGACCUUGAUUUGUAUACGAAAACCAUAGUGAAGUUGGAGAGGAAUCUUCAAUCUUGUGAUGGAGGCUGGUCAAGAUUUUCAUUUCUCGAUACAAACACAUGUAUAAUAACUCUGUUUUCUUUUUUCUCUUUAAUUUUCAUUCAUUUUCCAUGAACACUCACCGUUUAACUCUUCAAAGUUUUUUUUUUUUUUUUU